rnacentral:rRNA from 1 species
UGAGUAAUGUCUGGGAAACUGCCUGAUGGAGGGGGAUAACUACUGGAAACGGUAGCUAAUACCGCAUAACGUCGCAAGACCAAAGUGGGGGACCUUCGGGCCUCAUGCCAUCAGAUGUGCCCAGAUGGGAUUACCUAAUGGGGGGGGAGUAAUGGCUCACCUAGGCGACGAUCCCCUAGCUGGUCUGAGAGGAUGACCAGCCACACUGGAACUGAGACACGGUCCAGACUCCUACGGGAGGCAGCAGUGGGGAAUAUUGCACAAUGGGCGCAAGCCUGAUGCAGCCAUGCCGCGUGUAUGAAGAAGGCCUUCGGGUUGUAAAGUACUUUCAGCGGGGGAGGAAGGCGAUGCGGUUAAUAACCGCGUCGAUUGACGUUACCCGCAGAAGAGCACCGGCUAACUCCGUGCCAGCAGCCGCGGUAAUACGGAGGGUGCAAGCGUUAAUCGGAAUUACUGGGCGUAAGCGCACGCAGCGGUCUGUUAAGUCAGAUGUGAAAUCCCCGGG